UACGUAGGGUGCAAGCGUUGUCCGGAAUUAUUGGGCGUAAAGAGCUCGUAGGCGGUUUGUCGCGUCUGCUGUGAAAACGCGAGGCUCAACCUCGCGCCUGCAGUGGGUACGGGCAGACUAGAGUGUGGUAGGGGAGACUGGAAUUCCUGGUGUAGCGGUGGAAUGCGCAGAUAUCAGGAGGAACACCGAUGGCGAAGGCAGGUCUCUGGGCCGUAACUGACGGCUGAGGAGCGAAAGCAUGGGGAGCGAACAGG
rnacentral:rRNA from 1 species